rnacentral:rRNA from 1 species
CCGCAUCUGUGCAUGCAGCAUAUCAAUAAGCGGAGGAAAAGAAACUAACAAGGAUUCCCCUAGUAACGGCGAGUGAAGCGGGAAGAGCUCAAAUUUGAAAUCUUAAAGGGUUUCCCUUUACGAAUUGUAGUUUAAAGAAGUGUUUUCUGUUGAGGUUUUGGUAAAAGUUCUUUGGAAUAGGACAUCAUAGAGGGUGAGAAUCCCGUAUUUGACCUUUACUUUCAACUUUGUGAUACACUUUCAAAGAGUCAGAUUGUUUGGGAAUGCAGUCCAAAAUGGGUGGUAAAUUUCAUCUAAAGCUAAAUAUUGGCGAGAGACCGAUAGCGAACAAGUACCGUGAGGGAAAGAUGAAAAGAACUUUGAAAAGAGAGUUAAACAGUACGUGAAAUUGUCAAAAGGGAAGCGUUUGACACCAGUGUUGUUUUUCUGAAAAUCAAUUAAAGAACUGUUUAUGCUAAGUUGUUUAGACUUUAUCAGCUAUCUGCUUAGUUUUGAGCUUUUCUUUAAUGCACUUUUCAGUUAACAAGUCAACAUCAAUUUCUUUUGCUGUAAAAAAGCUUGAGGAAGGUGGCUUGAGAUUCGUCUUAAGUGUUUAUAGCCCUAUGACUUCUAGCAGUCGGAGAGAUUGAGGUCUGCAGCGUAGAUCCUUCGGGGUUAGAUAGCACUUGUGCUAAGUUAUAGCAUUUUCAUAGACAACUUGUUGACUAUGAUUUAGUCAUGUCGCUUACUCGCUUAUGCUAUUUUACCUACGCUUAGGAUGUUGAGCGCAUGUCUCUCUCU